rnacentral:rRNA from 1 species
GAUGAACGCUGGCGGCGUGCCUAAUACAUGCAAGUCGAGCGAACGGACGAGAAGCUUGCUUCUCAGAUGUUAGCGGCGGACGGGUGAGUAACACGUGGAUAACCUACCUAUAAGACUGGGAUAACUUCGGGAAACCGGAGCUAAUACCGGAUAAUAUUUUGAACCGCAUGGUUCAAAAGUGAAAGACGGUCUUGCUGUCACUUAUAGAUGGAUCCGCGCUGCAUUAGCUAGUUGGUAAGGUAACGGCUUACCAAGGCAACGAUGCAUAGCCGACCCGAGAGGGUGAUCGGCCACACUGGAACUGAGACACGGUCCAGACUCCUACGGGAGGCAGCAGUAGGGAAUCUUCCGCAAUGGGCGAAAGCCUGACGGAGCAACGCCGCGUGAGUGAUGAAGGUCUUCGGAUCGUAAAACUCUGUUAUUAGGGAAGAACAUAUGUGUAAGUAACUGUGCACAUCUUGACGGUACCUAAUCAGAAAGCCACGGCUAACUACGUG